GCCUGCAGUAGUACGGAGGCGGGCCUGUGUUUACUCAUUCCUCACAUAUUACAGUAAUGGUGGAUUUACUUCCAUACAUGGACACAGACAUAGCCUCGGGGAAUAAAAACAAACACAAGACGCUACAGAACGAGCUGAAACCAGGCCUGAUAGAGCAGAGCUUCGUCACGGUCCUCUGUCUGAUGAGAGUCUGUGAGGGGAGGAGAUAAAGAGGAAUCAAAGCAAGAGAGGAAGAAGACUUGGAGAUCCCGUUGUUUCUCUUCCACCUCUUCCAGCUGUCUCUGGAUUACCUGCACACAUAAAAGAA